UAUCACUCUGAUCCAAUUGCAUCCACGUGCAGUCGGUCGACGUGGGCCUUCAACACUGAUCGCCUCGAAUUGCUCGCGAUCGUCGUGGUAGACAAAAGGGGUGUGGCAGCGAUGCCAUCCAGUGUUGUCGACGAUCAAUCCGUGC
rnacentral:misc_RNA from 1 species